UACGUAGGGACCGAGCGUUGUCCGGAAUCAUUGGGCGUAAAGAGCGUGUAGGCGGCUUGCUAAGUCUUGCGUGAAAUCUCGGGGCUCAACCCCGAGCGGUCGUGGGAAACUGGCAGGCUAGAGUGCGGGAGAGGAGAAUGGAAUUCCUGGCGUAGCGGUGAAAUGCGCAGAUAUCAGGAGGAACACCGAUGGCGAAGGCAGGUCUCUGGGCCACUACUGACGCUGAGAAGCGAAAGCAUGGGGAGCGAACAGG
rnacentral:rRNA from 1 species